CCUACGGGAGGCAGCAGUAAGGAAUAUUGGACAAUGCCCGGAAGGGUGAUCCAGCCAUGCCGCGUGCAGGAAGAAGGCCCUAUGGGUUGUAAACUGCUUUUGCAGUGGAGAAAACCCUCUGACGCGAUUGGAGGUUGCUAGUACACUGCGAAUAAGCAUCGGCUAACUUCGUGCCAGCAGCCGCGGUAAGACGAAGGAUGCGAGCGUUAUCCGGAUUUACUGGGUUUAAAGGGUGCGUAGGCGGAUAUAUAAGUCAGUGGUAAAAGGUCGUGGCUUAACCACGGUAAAGCCAUUGAUACUGUAUAUCUUGAGUACACUGGGGGUAUGUGGAAUAUGGCAUGUAGCGGUAAAAUG
rnacentral:rRNA from 1 species